rnacentral:rRNA from 1 species
GACGAACGCUGGCGGCGUGCUUAACACAUGCAAGUCGAACGGAAAGGCCCUGCUUUUGUGGGGUGCUCGAGUGGCGAACGGGUGAGUAACACGUGAGUAACCUGCCCUUGACUUUGGGAUAACUUCAGGAAACUGGGGCUAAUACCGGAUAGGAGCUCCUGCUGCAUGGUGGGGGUUGGAAAGUUUCGGCGGUUGGGGAUGGACUCGCGGCUUAUCAGCUUGUUGGUGGGGUAGUGGCUUACCAAGGCUUUGACGGGUAGCCGGCCUGAGAGGGUGACCGGCCACAUUGGGACUGAGAUACGGCCCAGACUCCUACGGGAGGCAGCAGUGGGGAAUAUUGCACAAUGGGCGGAAGCAUGAUGCAGCAACGCCGCGUGCGGGAUGACGGCCUUCGGGUUGUAAACCGAUUUCGCCUGUGACGAAGCGUGAGUGACGGUAAUGGGUAAAGAAGCACCGGCUAACUACGUG